GGGCGGUUAGCUCAGCUGGCUAGAGCGUUGCAUUGACAUUGCAGAGGUCACAGGUUCGAGUCCUGUACCGCCCA
rnacentral:tRNA from 1 species